rnacentral:rRNA from 1 species
AUUCCAGCUCCAAUAGCGUAUAUUAAAGUUGUUGCAGUUAAAAAGCUCGUAGUUGGAUUUCUGACAGGGGGCCGAACACCACUGUAGUGAGUGUUUUGGUACCUGUCAUCCUUCUGUUAACCCUAGCGUCAUUCAUUUGUCGUUGGGCGGACCAGAUACUUUACCUUGAGAAAAUUAGAGUGUUUCAGGCAGGCCUAGCCGGAAUACAUUAGCAUGGAAUAAUGGAAUAGGACUAUAGUCUCGUCGUUGGUUACGUGGACUGCAGUAAUGAUUAAUAGGGAUAGUUGGGGGCAUUAGUAUUUAUUAGCUAGAGGUGGAAUUCUCUAAUUUGAUAAAGACUAUCUUAUGCGAAAGCAUUUGCCAAGGAUGUUUUCAUCG